GUGGCUGGCUACUGAUUUGGGACUGGGUACUGGUACUCUUACUCUAUACAUAAAAUAGAAAAUAUAUAUAUGUGUUGAGACUACAGGAUGUCAGAAAAAAAAAAAAUAAUAAUGGAAAAAAAUGGUUUUCAGAUGAAGCUUUUUAAACUACUUCAGUUUAAAUUCAUUAAUUGAAGUAUCUACUGAAGAACUGAAAAUGGUUCCAAAACUAGCGAUUCAGUAUUAAAUUAUUUUAUAAUAGCGCAAAUUAAAAUAUUUGGAAGCUUCAAUGCUGUUGCCAUCAAUCCGUAAUUUGGUAAAUUAUUUUAAAAAAUUAUUACUCAUGAUACAUAAAAUACGUGACAAAGGAGUUGUUAAGACGAUUUUAUUGUCUUCGUGGAAUUUUCAUAGGAUUUAACGUGUUAUUUAACUGAGUGGACGAAGAUAAUGGUACCUAACUAUCAGUCAUAAAUAAUGAAGCACACUAUUCCUACUGAAAAAAAUUUUUAUCUUGCUCUUGUAUUGGUCCCCAACUCCAUUUUUAUACUGAUAGAGUGGAAGUGGUGAAGCUUACAUCGUUAGAAAAUCCACUUCAGCUACUUCACGUCAGCUGUCACAUCUAAAGUCGACUGAUCUGAUCUUUUUGGAUAAGUUUUUAGAUUUAAACUAUUAAUAUUUGAGAUAUAGUUUUACUAUUUCUAUUUGAAUAAAUUAUUUAAUCAUAAUAAUUUACUAUUCAA